rnacentral:lncRNA from 1 species
CGGCCUCCCAAAGUACUGGGAUUACAGAUGUAAGCCACCACGCCCGGCAAUUUUUACAAUUUCUAAUUCAACCCUGUCAUUUGUCAGAAGGAGACAGCAAGACAGAGAAAGGAAGUGCUUUUCCUAAGAUCAUCUGAAUAGAAGGUGCAAAGUGUGGCUGGAAUCCAGAGAUGCCACCUCCUGAUCCAGCUCUUUCCUUUCUUCCUCUCUAUUCAUUAUUGAUUGACUAUCUGGGUUUGUAUUUGCUGUGUCACAAGUUAUCUAAACAUUUAGCAUCUUAUAAUAAGACAUAUUUAUUGUCUCAUAGUUUCUGUUUGUCAGAAUCAGCCCUUGCUUCAGGGUCUCAGACAAAUCGGCAUUCAAGAUGUCAGCCUAUGCUGGGAUUUCAUGUAAAGACUCUACAUGGGAAGAAGCUGUGUCCAGGCUCAGGCGGUUAUUGGGAGGAUUCAGUUCCCUGAGGGCUGUUAGAUUGAGGACCUGAGAUCUUUUCUCACUAUUGGUCAGAGGCCACCCUCCAUUCCUUGCCACCUGGGGCAUUCCAGAUGGCAACUUACUUCAUCGAAGUGUGCAAGCUGAGAAGGCCACAGAGAGAGUCUGCUAGCAAGACGAAAGUCACAAUCUUUUGCAACCCAAUCGUGGAAAUGACAUCCCAUCCCCUUUGCUCUAUUCUAUUUGUUAGGAAGUCACUAGGUCCAGCCCACACUCAAGGGCCUACACUACAGGGACAUGGGGAUAGGGUGGGGACCAUGGGGCUGGGCUAGAAUUCUGCCUACCACAAGGCCUUUUUUUUGAAAAUGGAAAAUUCUCAGUUGUGCUUGAUCUUUCUCUUCUAAACCAGGAAACCACUUUUCAUGGGAGAGGUCAGGGAUCUAUUAAGACAGAAACAAGAGGGGAGGGGAGGGGAGGGGAGGGGAAGGGAGGAGGGAGAAGGA